GGCAAGCGGUUGCCAGUUGAUGCGGCAACAGUGCUGCCAGCCGCUGGCCCAGAUCUCAGAGCAGGCUCGGUGCCAGGCUGUCUGCAGCGUGGCCCAGGUCAUCAUGCGACAGCAGCAAGGGCAAAGUUUCGGUCAGCCUCAGCAACAAGUGCAAAGUUUCAGCCAGCCUCAGCACCAGGUUCCGAUUGAGAUAACGAGGAUGGUGCUCCAGACCCUUCCAUCGAUGUGCAACGUGAACAUCCCGCAAUAUUGCACCACCACCCCAUGCAGGACCAUCACUCAGACCCCCUACAACAUCCCUAUGACCGCUACCUGUGUUGGUGGUACCUGCUAAGAUCUGUGCUGCGCUAACUAGAUCGAUCGCCAUUUAGUUUAGAUGAUGGAUGAAGGGUGAAAAAUAAAGUAAAAGUGCCAUAUAUCAUCAUGUGUGGCCAGUACUGAUGCGACAUAGAAAUAAGAAACCUUUGUUUCUCAAUAAAGCUUUUGUCUGAAUAAAAUUGCAUGUUUUGCAUGAUAAGUGAGAUCAUAGAAGUAUCUCACCUUAUUGAAGUACUAUUGCAACUUUAAAUAACAAACAUCUGCUCCUGAAUAAAUCUGUUGUCAAAAUAAAAUUGCAUGUUUUGCGCGAUAGAUGAAAUCUCAGAAGCAUCUGACCGAAGUGGACCAUCAAUCUAUUGUAUGCCUCCCACUAAAUCAAGAUAAAUUCAGAACACGAAAGGACAAAUAAAAGAGCAGCACAAGGCACAUAUGGAGAAUGGAGAGAGAGCAGAUCAAACAACACAUGGCCACAAACAUGUAUGACCAAUAUAAAGAGGUGCCGGAUUUGAAACAAUGUUGACAUAUUCACUAUGUGCUUUCUUGUUCAAUCACAGAAUUAAUGUCAACCAAGCUGGUACAUAAGAAGUCAAUUAAUCCCUGUAGAGCCACUGCAGUAUGAUCACUUCCUGGAGACAAUAUAAUAAAUAUUAUUGUGCAUAAUACAUUUGCAAAGUCAAGAAAACAUGGAAGUUACAAAACCUAGUAGAUAUAACUGAAUAAUAUUUAAAGUCAUAAGAUAUAUUUUCAUAAUUUCACACCUAAUUAUACCUUUUUUUAUGCCACAUGAUUGUCUUUUUAUUUCAUAUAUACGAAUGAAUAUUGGCACACCCACAUAUUUUAUUUUACUGUGUUACACCAUUAAGAAAACCUUCUACUCUAGGAGUGGUUUAUUUUCCGUGAAACAAAUGAAAUCUAUGACACAUCUCACUGAAUUGAAGAAUCAUCAUACUCUACAUGGCUCCCAAUUAAACCAAAAAUUCACAACAUGAAGAGAGGGACGGUACAUACGUAAGAAGAGAUCCUGGAUCAAGGAACAUACACACAUGAACAAGCUUCAUAAAAAUAUUAAUGGAUUUGAUAACAUUGUUGACACACGUAAAGUUAUUAUCCAACACACACGAUAAAACUCAAUGCUACAUCAGAAGCUGAUUAAUUGCCGACAUGUCAUAGCCAUGAGCAUUGUGCAGCACAAUCACGGGCGGGACACAACAUAUAUUAAUAUUCUUGUGCUAGCCACAUUUUGGUGCCAAGUCAAGAAACCGUGGAGGUACCAAAAACUGAACACGCAUACUGUUGGAUACAAGAUAGAAGAAUGAAGGAUAUGUAUACUGGAAUAUAACUCUAUUGAGAAGCAACACUUGAUACAACGAAAUUUCAUAGGAAUGAUUUUUCUAGCGAACUACUCCCUCUGUAUCUAAAUAUAAGUCUUUUUUACAGAUUUCAAUAUGGACUAUAUACGGAAAAAAAAUGAGUUAAUCUAUACUCUAAAGUAUGGAAGCGAAUUAGGAGCACUCGGGUGCUCCACCCCCUAUAUUCAAAAAUAAUUUAAUAAUUCAAAAAAGUCAAAAAAAUACUGGAUAUAUUUUUGAAACAAAUAUGACUAGGUAUUGUAUUCAUAUAAAAAGUUUGGCCAAGGAAUGACUCUCGUUGAUUUCAGGGCAAAAAAAACAAAAUUUAUGAUGACAAUAUAGCAUGAAUAGUACUUGUAUAUAGCAUUUUUUUUUUAAAUCUUUGACCCCGGAUAUAAUAAAAGACAUUCCGUGUUUAAUCUUUGUAUACGAGUGCAAUACUUGGUCAUGUUUGAUUCCAUAAAAAGUUCCAGGAUUUUUUGAUUUUUUUGAAUUACUAAAUUAUUUUUAAAUAUAGGGGGGCGUAGCACCCCAGAGCUCCUAUGCAUUUUCGCUGAAGUAUGUCUAUAUACAUCCUUAUGUAGUAGUUCUUAUUGAUAUCUCUAAAAUACACUUAUAUUUAGGAAUGGAGGGAGUACAUGGUCACCUAUAUCACGAUAUAAUUCUAUAGUAAAGGGUUAAGCACCUUGUUCGCAAGAUUAUUAUCGGGGCGGAGUCAAAGGGUUCCAUUCUGGUUUAGCUUACUCCCUCCGUCCGCGAAUAAGUGUACUUCUAACUUUUGUCCUAAGUCAAAGUUUUAAAACUUUGACCAACUAUAUACAAAAAAGUAGUAACAUAUAUGAUAUCAAAUUGAUAUAUUAUGAAAAUACAUUUCAAAACAGAUCUAGUGAUACUAAUUUAGUGUCAUAAAUGCUGCUACUUUUUUCCAUAAAGUUGGUCAAAGUUUUAAAACUUUGACUUAAGACAAAAGCUAGAAGUACACUUAUUCGCGAACAGAAGGAUAUGUGUACUGGAAUAUAACUCUAUUGAGAAGCAACACUUGAUAAAACGUGUUGAUAAUGUAAGAGAGGUCGGGAUAGACCAAACUUGAGAUGUGAGAAGUCUGAAGGACUGAAGUAUCAACAAAGAACUAGCCAUGGAAAGGGGUGCAUUAAAGUUAACUAUCCAUGUGCCAGAACCAUGAGUUGGUUGCGAGAUCUUCAGCUCAAGCUACCUCAACUUAUUUGUUGUUGUUGUUGUUGAAAAGAUGCAGUAUACUCCCUCCAUUCCAAAAUAGAUGACCCAACUUUAGUUUCAAAAUAGAUGACCCAACGGAGGGAGUACAUCUAUAGGUCCAUGUGUAUUGUUUUCAGAUUUUUUGGAACUUCAAAAUAUGACUUUCCGAAUUUUGAAAAAAGAGCUUCAUGGAGCUCGAGCUAAAAAAAUCCAUUGUCCUCAUGAUACAUGCAUAAAACACAUACCUUUUACAAAAAAAAUAACAAGUUUAGGUUCACUGGCCAAAGCUACAAAAAUGCUACAUUAGACUUCCCACAUGUAAAACUAAUUUGAUGACUCAUGGCAUUUUAUCUCCUGCCAGCUUAUACAAGACUUUAAAACCAGUUCCAGGAAGCAAUUAAACUCGGCAUACAAAAAAAAAAAACUCAGUUUCACAUGCCGAAGCAUAGCCCCAUGACAAUCCUUGACAUGUAAAGGAAAAUUUAUGAGUCAUCAAUGCUCUGCUGAUGCCGUCUGUAUUACCAUUUACCAAUUAGUAGAACGAUACAAAAACCAGUUUUCAGAAAACAGCAAGAUGGAAUGCUGGACAUGCCAAUCUGAUUUAUAUCUAACAACUCGUACAAGACAACAAAACUGAUUUCGCAAAAAGACACAAUCGAGAUAUACGCUUGACAUGUAAAGUGGUCAGUGAUGAGUCAUAUGGAUUAUCGGGGUCAGGCGCAAGCUGACUGAUAUCUACACGAUAUGUGUUGAAAAGUAUAUUUGACGACCAUCCAAAAACGGACUCUUAGCACCACCUAACACAAGAUGACAGAUGAUUAGAUUGAAAAGUACGCAAAAGCUUUAUCAAAGCAACCAAGGAAUGCAAUGCACAACAUGAUGCCAUGGCAGCUAUAAAUAGGCCUGCACCAUGAAGACCCUCCCUCAUCACCCUUCACACAAACAUAAACACCAAAGCAAACUUAUAGCCAGCCACCAUGAAGAACCUGUUCAUCCUCGCUCUCCUCGCCUUCACGGCGACAAGCGCUGUUGCGCAGCUGUACACUACCUGUAGCCAGGGCUACGGGCAAUGCCAGCAGCAGCCGCAGCCGCAGCCGCAACCGCAGCCACAGCCGCAGAUGAACACAUGCGCUGCUUUCCUGCAGCAGUGCAGCCAGACAGCAUAUGUCCAGUCACAGAUGUGGCAGGCAAGCGGUUGCCAGUUGAUGCGGCAACAGUGCUGCCAGCCGCUGGCCCAGAUCUCGGAGCAGGCUCGGUGCCAGGCGGUCUGUAGCGUGGCACAGAUCAUCAUGCGGCAGCAGCAAGGGCAACGUUUCGGCCAGCCUCAGCAGCAGCAAGGGCAAAGUUUCGGGCAGCCUCAGCAGCAGGUUCCGGUUGAGAUAAUGGGGAUGGUGCUUCAGACCCUUCCGUCGAUGUGCAGCGUAAACAUCCCACAAUAUUGCACCACCACCCCGUGCAGCACCAUCGCCCCCGCCAUCUACAGCAUCCCCAUGACAGCUACCUGUGCUGGUGGUGCCUGCUAAGAUCUGUGAUGUGCUAGCUAGAUCGAUCACCGUUUAGUUGAUCGAUGAAGAGUUAUAAAAUAAAAGUGCCAUACAUCAUCAUGUGUGGCCAGUACCUCUGUUUCUGAAUAAAGCUUUUGUCCGAAUAAAAUCGCAUGUUUUACAUGAUAAAUGAAAUGUCAGAAGCUUUUCACCUUACUGAACCUUCUUACGUGGUGGAGUUACGGUCAGCCUCAGCAGCAGGUUCAGUUUGAGAUAAUGAGCAUGGUGCUUCACACCCUCCCGUCGAAGCACAGUUCAUACAUCCCGGCUUAUUGCACCACCACCCCCCUACAGCAUGCCUGUGGCUAUUAUUACCUGUGCUGGUGGUGGCUGCUAAGAUCUGUGCUGUGCUAGCUGGAUCGAUCAGUGUUCAGUUGAUCGAUGAAGCGGUGACAAAAUAAUGUGGCCAGUACGGAAAUAACAAACAUCUGCUCCUGAAUAAAGGUGUUAGCUGAAUAAAAUUGCAUGUUCUGUACGGUAGAAGAAAUCUCAGAAGCAUCUUACUGGAAUGAACCAAAACUCUAUAUUGUAUGGCUCCCAUUAUAUCAAAAGAAAUUCAAAACAUGAAAGGAGAAAUAAUAGAGGCACAAGGAACAUAUGGAAAGAGACCAGAUCAAAAAGCACACAGCCACAAACAUGUAUGAGCAACAUAAAGAGUUACCGGAUUCGAAACAGCGUUGACAUAUUAAGAAUGUGCUUUCUUGUCCAGUCACAGAAUUAAUGCCAACCAAGCUGCUACAUAAGAAUUCAAUUAAUCCCCAUAGACCCAGUGCAGGAUGAUCACUUCCUGGAGACAAUAUAGAUCAACAUUCUUGUACACAAUACAUUUGCCAAGUCAAGAAACCAUGGGAGUUACAGAACCUAGUGGCUAACUGAAUAAUACAAAAGCAGGAAUCGACAGGACUGGCAUUGUGAAAGACUAAGAAAAGCCUUGCAACUGCAACAAGCAACGAUGACCAAUCACUGGUCAACCCCGUAAACCAAACUGGGAAGCACCCAGAGGCUAUUUAGUGGACUGCAAUGGGCAGUGGCUGCGGAACUGAAUGACAUACGGUGAGUCGAGCUGGGCACCGGCUGUCCAACCUCUAUUGCAGUCCAUGGCUCAUCAAAAUCUUCUGAUUUUGUUGGAACAUAAAUAUAGUUACUCUUUCCUCCCCAUCUUUCAGGGUUCAUGCAAGAAAAUGUAGGGUUUCUCCUAUCAUUGGUGAGGAAGAGAGCCCAAUUGUCCAACUUAUCCAUCUUCACCCACUUAGCUGGUUCAACUGAGAAGUCGAGGCGGAAGACUUGAAAGGUGCCAGGAAAGCCAAACAGUUGGUCCAUGCUUACCGAGAGAUCUACCAAGAGAAGCAUGUCACCACAGACCACCAACCAUGGCUUAGAAUGAAGGCCUACGAGCAUGCUCUGUUCCCACAUAACUGCUACUUCCUGCAUGCUGAGCUCAGGUGAUAUGUGUAUGGUAUGUAGCCUUUGAACAAAGUCCAUGGCAAACAUCUGGCCUUUGAAGAGCACAAUCUGAUGGAUGAGUUCACCAACCUGAGGGUGCUCUGUCCAAGAAUUUGUUCCAACCUGCCACUGGAGCAUGGAGAUUCUCGAGAAAAGGAUGAGACGUGAAUUGGGCGAAUCUAGUGGAGCCGUAAGGAUGCCAAGGUAGAUCAAAGUGUUGCUCUCAGAUUGGAAUUUUGGUGGCUUCACCUUUGUGCCAGUGUACACAUCGACGAGAUGGCAGUGUCUCCUAUCAGAGAAGAUAAGAUAACCAUAUGAGCAGCCCAGAUAGCGCAUGGGAUGUGGAGUAAUUCCAGGCGCUGAACAACGAUGGGAUAAACUUUUCUUAGCAGGAUCAACAAGCUGCGAUUUCCGAUCUGAGUUGUAACUCUCCUGGCUUACAUCUGGUUUGAGGUGGAGAGGUGGGAAGCUGAAGGUAUAUACAGAUGGGAAGGAAGAGGCUGCGGCGUGCCAUGAGUGACAGGUGCCACGGAAAGCAAGGAAGUCAUGAAAUGAGCUAAUGAGCGAAAUGAUUUGGUGGAGCAGGCUGUCUAGAAGGCUUUCCCAGGCAUGAGAUCCCGAUGAGGAUGAGGAAAUAGAUCCAGAGGCAUCACAGAUUUUCUUAGAGGGCCUUGCUGCAACAGCAACUUCCCUGUCAUGGAGAAAAUUCAAGGGUCAGAAGAAAGAACUCAAAUAUAACAGAGAUAUAGCUAGUAAUUUAUUAGAAAUGUGGUAUAUAUGUGACAGAGGAGGUUGAAUUGGAUUUCCGGUAUAUAUGCUCUUACUAUACACACUAAGGCAAAAAAGCACGACUGUUUAACUGAACAAAGUUUAUUCCCAUUGUGAGAUGUAUAUAUCAAUAAUUCAAUAUGAACACCAAUGGUUCCUUCGUUGAGGCUACGGGGCAGGGACGUGCUGGUGCUUUAGCAAGGGACCACAAUGGCGUGGUCUUGCUUUCUACCUGGAGAAAGAGAAGCCUGUGUUCUGAGGCAGAGGAGGUUGAAGCUGUUCGAUGUGGUGAUUGGUUUGUCUCCGUCAGUUAUCUGAAAUUUACAGGGCGGCUGGUUGUGGGUGAAACGGACUGCACGGCCUUGUGGGGUGUACUGUCAGAAAAUUCAGAGAACAGAUCCUGCCGGGACUUCUACUACAGCAAGACAGAGAGACUGACAGAGUGCAGGCUGCGCAUAUAGGAUUGCAAGAGAGAGCAAUGGAGCAGCCCACCCGCCUGCAAAUUAUCGUAGAACAAACUAUCGCCAAGGAACAGACAAGUAAAUUAAGUUUCCCAUUCGAUUGUAACAACGCAUAUCAAUAUGCUAAACUUUAACCAGAACAGGGUACGUCAGGAUCACCUACAGCAUGAUAUUCUGUACAACAGAGUAUUGUCCUUAAUGUGCAACCACCCUAUGGUAUAUAAUUGUUGUGUUCAACCACUCUACGGUGUAAUUUCUUGGACGAGUUGCGAACAAUUUUACUGUUCAGAGCUCCCAGUUCCCCUAUGUACAGUACAGUACAGAUCGAGUCCAAUAGCAAUUUCACGCAGGAUGUCAGGAGUCAGGACAGGCGGCAACGGGGAAGACUAGGCUAGAUCUGUUCAAUAAGCUUCGGAUUGAGAAACCUAAGAGACAAGCAAGGUUAGGGUAAGGGCGCGCGAGGCGAGCACCUGGAGCUGAGGCUGGCUGGUGCCGGCGGCGGCGAGGGUUCGGCGGCCUGCUGCGGUCGCGCUCUCCGGCGCCGGCGGUGGCGCCGGUUCCCUGUCAUGCGCGCACGUACGGUGGCGUCCCCUCAACCGGCGGCUCCGGAUCGGCGCCGCCUACUGGUCGUCGGCGAGCGGCGGUGGUCGUCUCUCACUUUUUCGGGCGGUGGAGAGGCGUCCGAGAGGAGGCGGACUUUUUGCAGUUCGGGCCAGCGUCUCGGCCUUUAGCGCUAGCACGGGCCAGCCCAAGCACGGUACUGGGCUGAGAUAUAGUAGGGCCAUGUUCAGCCCAAAGCGAGCACGGAGCAUCCAAACGGGCCGCCCACAGCGAGCAUGUUACAGAAUGCUUUUCUGAAACCAAACAGCACCGUGAGGCAUGGCUUAACGGGGCACCAGGAACGUCAUCGUCGCAGUCAGAGGAAGGGAUGUGGAAAAAACUGUGGAAAACGGAGUACCAGGCAAAGUCCGGAUGUUUCUAUGGAGAUUGUCAAAACACUCCCUUCCCACUGAGGAUGUGUGAGCUCACCGCCAUAUGACGACGUCUAGCAGCUGCGGGCUAUGUGGGAUGCCGGAUUCGUGGAAACAUUCGCUGAUUCAAUGCACAAUGUCCAGAUGUGUAUGGGCCUUGGUGGAUGAGGAACUUGCACAUGAAAUGAUGGCGCUGACAGAGCCUAAAGCGAAGCAAUGGCUGUUCGCACUUAUUGAGUCCCUCACACAUGAUGAGUCUGUCCUCCUGUAGAUUACUCUGUGGUCAAUCUGGCAUGCGAGGCGCAAGGCGAUCCACGAGGGGAUUUUUCAGAGUCCUCAGGCAACACAAAUUUUCAUCAACAGAUACCGUGACGAGCUUAAUAUGAUCCGUCCGACAGUAAGAUGAACGAGUGCACCAAAUGCUCCAGUGGGACCGCAGAGACCCAAGGCACCUCCGACGGGUUUUGCAAAAAUUCACGUUGACGCAGCAGUACGACCAGGGAGAGGUGGGUCAGCGGCAGCGGUUUGUCGUGAUUCAAAAGGAAAUUAUUUAGGAAGUUUAGCCCUGGUGGUGGAAGGAGUGGAUGAUCCGGCUUCUCUGGAAGUUAUGGCAUGCAGGGAGGCAAUGUGUUUGGCAGAGGAUCUCCUUAUCAACAACUACAUUGUUGCCUCUGAUUGCAAGCAAGUUGUCUCCGACAUAAACUCGGGUAGUAGAGGGCAAUAUGGUGUCAUUCUGUCCGAGAUCAAUCUUCGAGCUAUCCUUUUUCAAUGUAUUUUUUCUUUUGAGUGUCGUGUUGUAAAUUAUGAAGCACAUAGUCUAGCCAGAUUCUCUCUUAGAAGGGGACCGGGGCGUCAUAUGUGGCUUGGCCAAUCCCAUGACCUAUCUUGUAUCCCACUCUCUGUGGACUUCGAUUAAUAAAGCUGGCUUUAUCCUAAAAAAAAGCUCCCUUGUUUUCGUUGAUUUUUUUUCAAAUUUUGCUUAUAUUUCAAAUAAUUAAAAAUAUAAAUACCUUCAAAUUAAUCUACAUAUUUUUUAUAAAAAACUUACGUACCAAUAAAAUUAUUUAUGUAAUGUAAAAACUUGUUUUUGUAUUAUUUUAAAAAUAUGCAUAUCAUUCAAAAAAAAUUCAUGACAUAACAAGUGUUCAAGUGUUUCAAAAAUAUGUUUAUGACAUUUUAAAAAACUGACUUAGUUUUGGAAAAAAAAAUUGUACCAUUCAAAACAUAUUUUCCUCGCAUUUUAGAAAAUGUUGGUAACACUCCAAAAUUCCUAAGCACACCUCUAAGUGAGAUGAGAUAGCAUAGCCGUAUAGGUAUGGCUAAGCACACCUCUAGGUAUGUAUUUCUAAUAUUAAUCCAUAGGGCACACCCCAAUGUCACCUCAGGCAACCCCAAAAAUUAUACUAAACAAUCACCUUAUAAUCUUUAUCUUUUCAAUCAUAAUUCGUAGAGUCACCCCAAUGUGAGUACCGAUAUGUUCUAAAAUUAUACUAGAUAUGCAUCACAUAAUCUCAUUGAUUUGCAAAAGAUUAAAGCCUACUUAAAGGAACUCAUAGCAGGAGCAAAAUCCAAUUCAUUACACCGAUAAUAUAAGGGAUACAUCACAUAGUUCGACUCCAUUAACAAGCCCAUGGUAACAAUCAAGAUUGGAAAAUGAUCACAAGAGUGAGGUAAAACAUAUUGUUAUUGGUACAAACGCUCAACCACGAGAGUGGGCUAAAAUUGCAUCACCAUAGGAGUAGCACGGUGAUGGAGAGGUUGAAGAGGAUCAAUUCGACCCUCAGACAGGGUGCCAGACAAUGGCCGAAGAAGAUCGCUUCGGAUAGAGAAGUGUCGACAACAGAAAAAUCUUUCAAGCAUUUUUUAGUAUAUGUAGAGCAAGGGGGGCGAGAGGCGGCAGGGAGGAGGUCAAGGGGCUCUGCGCGUCCCAGCGCUAGGUUGCGUCGUGGGUCCAUGCGAUGGCCUGGUGCCCCCUCCAGGUGAGCUUCUAGCCCAAGGUCUCUUUUGGCUUGAAAGUUCACAAAAGAUUUUUAUUUCAAUUUUUUUGUCCUAAAAAAAUAUUACUUAUGCAAAUUCAAAAUAUAUGCAGUACUGACACUGGGCACUUAAUAGGUUAGUCGAAUAAAAUAAUAAAAAUGAUUCCAAAAUUAUGCAAAUGAUACAAAAAUAGCAUAAGAAAUCAAUUAUAGAUACGCUUGAGAUGUAUCAACCCCUGCAGGGUUAAAACUUUUCCAAUAGCCAUGCCCGCAGUCAUGUGACUACUUGCUGAUCUAUGCUUGAUCAUAUACAUCAUUAAUGGUUACCUUAAAAACUAUCAAGAUAAGCCUGAGUAUCUUUAAUUGCUUCUGCGUGGGUGAGUCGAGGAAUUAUGCAUGUUUAAAAAGCAUGUGUUCGUCACACCCAUGCAUGAGUGUUGUAACAAGAGAAAUCACAUAGCACGAGACGUGCCCUUACUAAAAGUUUUUUUGUCCAUGUGUUCGUCGAAUUUUAUGUGAACGGUCCUUUGCGAAUUCAACAAAGCAAGUUAGGACCUCGUCUCAACAUGACGUUUUCUCUUUUACCCCGACAUGAAGGUUGCACGUUUCACUACAUCGGGUAUCUCUUCUUGAGCAUCAAAAUGACUGAAUGCAUCUAAAAACUAAUCUUAUAUAUACCCAUGUAUAAAUUGUGACCAUUUCAACGUUAAGAUCUUGAUGCUAGGCCCACCCAACCCAGUGAAUAACAGAAUUUGCUUUUGACUAAAAGAAGGGCUUGGCGGCUUGAGUAUGGUUGGGCUUAGCAGCAGAUAUCAACCUUGGAGGAUUACAAACUCAUAGCUCACCUUGUACAAGAUCAGUUUCACAACAUUGGAGCAUAGCUCCAUGGCAAUCCUUGACAUGUAAAGAGCAUCCUAUGAGUCAUGCCGUGCUCUAGUAAUGCAUGUUUAUCUUACCAACUCAUAUAACAUUACAAAAUCAGUUCCAGGGAACAAUUAAUCAAGGAAAGAACGGAGUGUGUGAAUGGAAAAGCUAAUUCAUACCUAACUCACGUACAAGAUUACAUAAUGGGUUUUGCAAAAAGAUAUGCGACCCAAACUAUGCUUGACAUGUAAAGUGAUGAUUGAUGAGUCAUAUGCAGGUGAUAUGUGCCGAAAAGUACAUUUGAUGAUCAUCCAAGAUUAGACUUGUAGUGCCACCUAACACAAUAAUACGAGAUGAUCAUUUUAAAAAGCAUGGAGUGUGUGAAUGGAAAAGCUAAUUUAUACCUAACUCAUGUACAAGAGUACAGAAUGGGUUUUGCAAAAAGAUAUGUGACCCAAACUAUGCUUGACAUGUAAAUUGAUGAUUGAUGAGUCAUAUCCAGGUGAUAUGUGCCAAAAAGUAUAUUUGAUGAUCAUCCAAGAUUAGACUUGUAGUGCCACCUAACACAACAAUACAAGAUGACCAGUUUAAAAAGCAUCCAUUUGCUUUUGUAAAGUAAUAUAGGAAUGGAAUGCAGCAAACUAGAACAUGCCAACUAUAAGUAUGCAUGUACCAUGAAGACCACAAUCAACCUUUAGACAACCACAAUCAUCCAAGCAACUUGAGGCUAGCCACCAUGAAGACAAUGUUCAUCCUCGCUCUCCUCGCCCUUGCAGCAUCCACCGCCACUGCCCAAUUGGAAACCAUCUGUAGCCAGGGCUUCGGACAAUGCCAACACCACCAACAAGUGGGGCAACAACAGUUGCUGGAUCAGAUGAAGCCAUGUGUGGCUUUCGUACAACAUCAAUGUAGCCCAGUGGGAACACCAUUCUCCCAAACACGGGGAGAGCAACAUAGCAGUUGCCAAACCGUGCAACACCAAUGCUGUCGGCAGCUGGUGCAGAUCCCAGAACAGGCCCGGUGCAAGGCCAUCCAGAGCGUGGAAGAGGCUAUCAGUCAACAACAGCCCCAACAAGAAUGGAAUGAGCCCCAACAGGAAGCACAACUUAAGAGCAUGAGGAUGUUGCUUCAGACCCUGCCGUUUAUGUGCAACAUCUACGUCCCGGUACAAUGCCAGCAACAGCAUCAACUUGGGCGACAACAACAACAACAGUUGCAGGAGCAGUUAAAACCGUGUGCGGCAUUCCUACAACAUCAAUGUAGGCCAAUGACAGUGCCAUUCCCGCAUACACCGGUGCAUAAGCCCACCAGCUGCCAGAGCGUGCAGGCCCAAUGCUGCCGGCAGCUAGCACAGAUCCCAGAGAAAUUCCGCUGCCAAGCCAUCCGUAAUGUGGUAGAGUCUAUCAGGCAACAACAACAUCACCAACCACAACAAGAAGUACAACUUGAGGGCCUGAGGAUGUCACUUCACACCCUACCGUCGAUGUGCAAAAUCUACAUCCCUGUACAAUGCCCAGCCACCACCACCACCCCCUAUAGCAUUACCAUGACAGCUAGCUAUACCGAUGGUACCUGCUAGUUGAUCAAUAUAGCAGUGGCAAAAUAAAAAUGGCAUGCAUCAUCAUGUGUGCCUAGUACUAAUUGCAACAUGAAAAUAAUGAACAGAUGUUCCUGAAUGAAGCACUUGUCUAAAUAAAGCUACAUGUUUGCAUGAUAUAUUAAGUCUAUGAUUUUUCUGACUGAACUUAACCAUCACCAUACUCUGUAUAU
rnacentral:lncRNA from 1 species